rnacentral:lncRNA from 1 species
GCUCGCUCACCCAUAACACUGUGUAGUAGUGGCGCAUGUACUUUUUAAAUAACCAUAACUUGCUCAAUUUUCUACAGAUUUUCAAACGGUUUCGUUUGUUAUGAAGGUCAGAGGUGCUAUUAUAACACUGCACUUAUGGAUUAUUAUUUUACACUUCCAGUCAAUAGUUUUGGAUGACCUACUUAUUAGACUUCAGAUAGGUGCAACGAAUACCAGUGUUGGAUAAACCAGGGUCUGCUGGGGGAUGAGUGCUGUGGAGGAGAGUGCUGUGUGGAGAAAUAAACCCCUACGAAGCAUGAGUGUGGCACAGACUGACAUGCAGCUAGUUCUGUGCAAACAGUGGAAGAAACGAGGAAAUAAUGCUUUACAAAAAGUUAUCAGUAAGAAAGAGGAGCUACUGAAACAAGCCCCGGGAGUCUGAGAGCACUGGAAAAAAAGUAGCUGCAUCCAAGUGUUGCUUCAUGUUGCUGCUUCAUUUAUCGUCUCCCACCCCCAGGAAUGGAACCUUCCACCAGGGUCUACUCAGCCGCAGGCACCUCAGUUUAACCCUUUUUCUGGGCCUCACAUUUCUUAUCCCACCCAUAUGAUGAGCCAACGGAUGAAAUCUCCUCUCAAUUCUAAUUGAAAGGCAAUAACAUCUUCACUAAGCGCAGCGGGAAAUGAGUGUAGCCUUGUAAACGUGUGAAAUCACCUUACGUACACGACUAUGUACACGUACAAAAUGAGAGUGGAGAGUCGAUCGUGGUUUG